rnacentral:ncRNA from 1 species
UACCUGGUUGAUUCUGCCAGUAGUCAUAUGCUUGUCUCAAAGAUUAAGCCAUGCAAGUCUAAGUUUAAGCACCUAAACGGCGAAACUGCGAAUGGCUCAUUAAAUCAGUUAUCGUAUAUUUGAUAGUACCUACUACAUGGAUAACCGUGGUAAUUCUAGAGCUAAUACAUGCUUAAAAUCCCGACUUCGGAAGGGAUGUAUUUAUUAGAUUAAAAACCAAUGCCCUUCGGGGCUCACUGGUGAUUCAUAAUAACUUCUCGAAUCGCAUGGCCUUGUGCCGGCGAUGGUUCAUUCAAAUUUCUGCCCUAUCAACUUUCGACGGCUGGGUCUUGGCCAGCCGUGGUUACAACGGGUAACGGAGGGUUAGGGCUUGACCCCGGAGAAGGAGCCUGAGAAACGGCUACUACAUCCAAGGAAGGCAGCAGGCGCGCAAAUUACCCAAUCCCGACACGGGGAGGUAGUGACAAUAAAUACUGAUACAGGGCUCUUUUGGGUCUUGUAAUUGGAAUGAGUACAAUUUAAAUCCCUUAACGAGGAACAAUUGGAGGGCAAGUCUGGUGCCAGCAGCCGCGGUAAUUCCAGCUCCAAUAGCGUAUAUUAAAGUUGUUGCAGUUAAAAAGCUCGUAGUUGAACUUUGGGCCUGGCUGGCCGGUCUGCCUCACCGCAUGCACUGGUCCGGCCGGGCCUUUCCCUCUGGGGAUCCGCAUGCCCUUCACUGGGUGUGUCGGGGAACCAGGACUUUUACUGUGAAAAAAUUAGAGUGUUCAAAGCAGGCCUAUGCUCGAAUACAUUAGCAUGGAAUAAUAGAAUAGGACGUUGCGGUUCUAUUUUGUUGGUUUCUAGGACCGCCGUAAUGAUUAAUAGGGACAGUCGGGGGCGUCAGUAUUCAAUCGUCAGAGGUGAAAUUCUUGGAUCGAUUGAAGACUAACUACUGCGAAAGCAUUCGCCAAGGAUGUUUUCAUUAAUCAGGAACGAAAGUUAGGGGAUCGAAAACGAUCAGAUACCGUUGUAGUCUUAACCAUAAACUAUGCCGACUAGGGAUCGGGCGAUGUUAUUUCUUGACUCGCUCGGCACCUUACACGAAAGUAAAGUUUUUGGGUUCUGGGGGGAGUAUGGUCGCAAGGCUGAAACUUAAAGAAAUUGACGGAAGGGCACCACAAGGGGUGGAGCCUGCGGCUUAAUUUGACUCAACACGGGGAAACUCACCAGGUCCAGACACAACUAGGAUUGACAGAUUGAGAGCUCUUUCUUGAUUUUGUGGGUGGUGGUGCAUGGCCGUUCUUAGUUGGUGGAGUGAUUUGUCUGCUUAAUUGCGAUAACGAACGAGACCUUAACCUGCUAAAUAGCCCGGCCCGCCUAGGCGGG